rnacentral:rRNA from 1 species
AUUGAACGCUGGCGGCAUGCCUUACACAUGCAAGUCGAACGGUAACAGGUCUUCGGAUGCUGACGAGUGGCGAACGGGUGAGUAAUACAUCGGAACGUGCCCAGACGUGGGGGAUAACGAGGCGAAAGCUUUGCUAAUACCGCAUACGAUCUAAGGAUGAAAGCAGGGGACCGCAAGGCCUUGCGCGUUUGGAGCGGCCGAUGGCAGAUUAGGUAGUUGGUGGGAUAAAAGCUUACCAAGCCGACGAUCUGUAGCUGGUCUGAGAGGACGACCAGCCACACUGGGACUGAGACACGGCCCAGACUCCUACGGGAGGCAGCAGUGGGGAACUUUGGACAAUGGGCGAAAGCCUGAUCCAGCAAUGCCGCGUGCAGGAUGAAGGCCUUCGGGUUGUAAACUGCUUUUGUACGGAACGAAAAGGCUCUGGCUAAUACCUGGGGCACAUGACGGUACCGUAAGAAUAAGCACCGGCUAACUACGUG